rnacentral:rRNA from 1 species
AACAAACGCUGGCGGCGUGCCUAAUACAUGCAAGUCGAACGGGGAAAGCUUUCGGGUGAGUACUAGUGGCGCACGGGUGAGUAACGCGUGGAUAAUCUGCCUUAGAGUGGGGGAUAACUAGUCGAAAGAUUAGCUAAUACCGCAUAAGACCACAAGAACUGCGGUUCAAGGGGUCAAAGGUUUUUCGCUCUAAGAUGAGUCCGCGUAAGAUUAGCUAGUUGGUGAGGUAAUGGCUCACCAAGGCGACGACCUUUAACUGGUCUGAGAGGAUGAUCAGUCACACUGGAACUGAGACACGGUCCAGACUCCUACGGGAGGCAGCAGUAGGGAAUAUUGCACAAUGGAGGAAACUCUGAUGCAGCGACGCCGCGUGAGUGAUGAAGGCCUUCGGGUCGUAAAGCUCUGUCGCAAGGGAAUAACACAAUGAAUGUACCUUGCAAGAAAGGAUCGGCUAACUUCGUGCCAGCCACCGCGGUAAUAC